GGAGCUAACGCGUUAAGUCGACCGCCUGGGGAGUACGGCCGCAAGGUUAAAACUCAAAUGAAUUGACGGGGGCCCGCACAAGCGGUGGAGCAUGUGGUUUAAUUCGAUGCAACGCGAAGAACCUUACCUACUCUUGACAUCCAGAGAACUUUCCAGAGAUGGAUUGGUGCCUUCGGGAACUCUGAGACAGGUGCUGCAUGGCUGUCGUCAGCUCGUGUUGUGAAAUGUUGGGUUAAGUCCCGCAACGAGCGCAACCCUUAUCCUUUGUUGCCAGCGGUCCGGCCGGGAACUCAAAGGAGACUGCCAGUGAUAAACUGGAGGAAGGUGGGGAUGACGUCAAGUCAUCAUGGCCCUUACGAGUAGGGCUACACACGUGCUACAAUGGCGCAUACAAAGAGAAGCGAACUCGCGAGAGCAAGCGGACCUCAUAAAGUGCGUCGUAGUCCGGAUUGGAGUCUGCAACUCGACUCCAUGAAGUCGGAAUCGCUAGUAAUCGUAGAUCAGAAUGCUACGGUGAAUACGUUCCCGGGCCUUGUACACACCGCCCGUCACACCAUGGGAGUGGGUUGCAAAA
rnacentral:rRNA from 1 species